UACUGAACUACAAUCAGAUUUCAACAUUCAAUCUUUCUUCUUCUCAAAUAAUAUCAAUCACAUUUCCAUUCUAUAAUUCACUUCACAAUAUUCAAAAACUCUCAAUCCUCUUAUUCAAAGAAAAUAACAAACAAAAGAAAAGAGGUAGCACCAAGCUUACCCCGGUUCAUAACUAUCACAGCGAUGGCAUUUUCUUCCCCU
rnacentral:lncRNA from 1 species